AUGGCGAAGGACAAGACAUCCGCUCUGGAGAGCGCGAAGAAGGCGGCGACGCAGGGGAAAGGGAAGAGAUCUGCUCGGGGCGGAUCUUCCUCAAGGUCUGCUCUGCCCCGCGGCUGGAUCCAGGGUGAUUGGAUGCCGUCGGUGAUCCGGCAAGAAGAUCUUGAUGACAUGGUCGAGGGGGGAGUCAUUCCCCACGAAGCUGCGCGUCUCCCGGGGAGAGAGAUCGAACCUCAGCCUCGCGACGGUGAGUGUGUGCUCCUAGCCACCCAUAUCGACCGAGGGUUUUCUCUGCCGCCCCAUCCUUUUUUCCGGAGCUUUCUGAACUUCUUCGGAGCGCAGCUCCACCACUUCACUCCCAACUCCAUCGUAUAUCUUGCUGCUUUCAUUUCCAUGUGUGAGGGUUUCUUGGGUUGCCGCCCCCAUUGGGGACUCUUCAAGCACAUCUUUACCUGCCGUUCUCAAUCGGUCAAGAAGGCCAAGUCGAGUGAUGAAAGGACGCAGGUGAUUCAACUGUGCGGGGGCCUGGCGAUCUAG
rnacentral:rRNA from 1 species